GUGGGGAAUCUUCCGCAAUGGACGAAAGUCUGACGGAGCGACGCCGCGUGAGUGAAGAAGGCCUUCGGGUCGUAAAGCUCUGUCAUCAGGGACGAACGGCCGGUGGAGUGGAAAGCCACCGGAUUGACGGUACCUGAGAAGGAAGCCACGGCUAACUACGUGCCAGCAGCCGCGGUAAUACGUAGGUGGCAAGCGUUGUCCGGAAUUAUUGGGCGUAAAGCGCGCGCAGGUGGGAUCUUAAGUCCAUUUUGAAAGUUCGGAGCUCAACUCCGUGAUGGGAUGGAAACUGGGAUUCUUGAGUACCGGAGAGGAAAGCGGAAUUCCCCGUGUAGCGGUGAAAUGCGUAGAUAUGGGGAGGAACACCAGUGGCGAAGGCGGCUUUCUGGACGGUGUCUGACACUGAGGCGCGAAAGCCAGGGGAGCGAACGGGAUUAGAAACCCGGGUAGUCC
rnacentral:rRNA from 1 species